rnacentral:rRNA from 1 species
UGGGGAAUAUUGCACAAUGGGCGCAAGCCUGAUGCAGCCAUGCCGCGUGUAUGAAGAAGGCCUUCGGGUUGUAAAGUACUUUCAGUCGGGAGGAAGGUGGUAAGGUUAAUAACCUUAUCAAUUGACGUUACCGACAGAAGAAGCACCGGCUAACUCCGUGCCAGCAGCCGCGGUAAUACGGAGGGUGCAAGCGUUACUCGGAAUUACUGGGCGUAAAGCGCACGCAGGCGGUUGAUUGAGUCAGAUGUGAAAUCCCCGGGCUUAACCCGGGAAUUGCAUCUGAUACUGGUCAGCUAGAGUCUUUUAGAGGGGGGUAGAAUUCCAUGUGUAGCGGUGAAAUGCGUAGAGAUGUGGAGGAAUACCGGUGGCGAAGGCGGCCCCCUGGACAAAGACUGACGCUCAGGUGCGAAAGCGUGGGGAGCAAACAGG